CCUACGGGAGGCUGCAGUGGGGAAUAUUGCACAAUGGGGGAAACCCUGAUGCAGCAACGCCGCGUGAGCGAUGAAGGCCUUCGGGUCGUAAACUUCUAUCAGCAGGGAAGAAGAAAGUGACAGUACCUGACUAAGAAGCCCCGGCUAACUACGUGCCAGCAGCCGCGGUAAUACGUAGGGGGCGAGCGUUGUCCGGAAUUACUGGGCGUAAAGCGCGCGUAGGCGGAUAAUUAAGUCAGAUGUGAAAACUCUGGGCUCAACCGAGAGCAUGCAUCUGAUACUGGUUAACUUGAGUGUAGAAGAGGAGAGUGGAAUUCCUAGUGUAGCGGUGAAAUGCGUAGAUAUUAGGAGGAACACCAGUGGCGAAGGCGGCUCUCUGGACUGUAACUGACGCUGAGGCACGAAAGCGUGGGGAGCAAACAGGAUUAGAUACCCGGGUAGUC
rnacentral:rRNA from 1 species